rnacentral:ribozyme from 1 species
CAAGGUCCAAUGUCUUGUUUGCCGAUGCUUUCGGACCCGGACGUUUUGCCGCAUCUCACAAACGCGAUGCGAAAUGUGUUGGAGUAAACACGCUCCUGCUGCCUAUACGCAUACCCCAUGUAUGCAAUGCACGGGUGGAAAUAUUUCCACUGCUACCACUAUUAUAAAUGGGACGCACUCGUCCUGUUCUGCUUGUACAAUUUUCCUGAUUUGAAUAGCUACACUACUCUAAAUUACCACUCA